UGAAAAUAUGGUGUCAUUGAGUCUUUAGUUGUGGGUUAUCAUCCUUAUGAGACUUGUCUCUGAUUCCAAGAUUGGAGGCUCUUCCUCUGCCUCCCCAUUUUUGCCCACCCCCAACUUGAGAUAGAUCUCAAAGUCUCAUUUUGACCAUAUAUUCUUCUAGUUACAUGGUGGAAAUGAGGAGAAGCUAAAUAUAGCCACGUGAUAACUAUCAGCAAAAACUUCAAGCUUAACGUCAACAAAAUUGGGACCUUCAAUCACAAUGGCCAAACACAAACCUGGUCCAGGAAUCAGAGAACCUCAAGGUGAUCUAUGAAAGGCGGAGCUUUUGAAGACUCACUUCCUCUUGACACCAAUGACGUGAGCUGGCAAGGCUUUGGCAUGCCUCUCGCGGAUCGCUCCGGAUUCCUGCAGCCCCGGCUGUGGCUGUCAGUUUCCGGGGUGACCGUCCGGCUGUGACCGUCCACACGGGGGAGAAGCAGGAGCAGAGCGGAAACUCCCUCUCCCCUCUCUUCUCAGAGCCAGCGUCGCUGCCCUCCCUGCCCGACUGAAGACUUUCUCAACUCUCCUCCCGCCCCCCGGGUAACACUUUCGGAGUCUUCAGACUUCCCAGGGACUUCUCAUAGUGUUUUAUUUGUCUUUAGUCAUUCGUUCCUCAAAUCUAAGUUCCCCUCCAGUUCCUACAGCUUCUCUAUGGUUGAUUUUCAGGAAGCAGCCAGCGGCCAGUGUAGUUUGUCAUUUUGACAGGGUGAGAGAAUGGUUUAUAGGAUGAGUAGGUGCACCAGAAAAGGGGGAGAAUUAGAGACGGCAGAUGUGUGAGCCUAAGGACAGAGGGGCUACCAGUACACACCAAGAGAUGCUUUCUUAUGCGCUUAGUUCUUAAAGUUUAACUUAUCUAUCUACCUAUCUAUAACUGUGCAUUUGUAUUUAUGUAUGUAUGCAUAUAUAUGUGACUUUAAAAGUAAGAUAAUGCUUUCAAGCUUAUAAUGGAAACAA